GCUCUGGUGGACUAAGUGGUUAGAGCAUCUGCUUCAGAUGUAGGAGGUCACAGGUUCAAACCAUGGCCAAGUCA